GGAGAGGUGUCCGAGCGGCUGAAGGAGCACGACUGGAAAUCGUGUAGACGUUCAUAGCGUCUCGAGGGUUCAAAUCCCUCCCUCUCCGCCA
rnacentral:tRNA from 1 species